GACGAACGCUGGCGGCGUGCUUAACACAUGCAAGUCGAACGGAAAGGCCCUGCUUUUGUGGGGUGCUCGAGUGGCGAACGGGUGAGUAACACGUGAGUAACCUGCCCUUGACUUUGGGAUAACUUCAGGAAACUGGGGCUAAUACCGGAUAGGAGCUCCUGCUGCAUGGUGGGGGUUGGAAAGUUUCGGCGGUUGGGGAUGGACUCGCGGCUUAUCAGCUUGUUGGUGGGGUAGUGGCUUACCAAGGCUUUGACGGGUAGCCGGCCUGAGAGGGUGACCGGCCACAUGGGGGCUGAGAUACGGCCCAGACGCCUACGGGAGGCAGCAGUGGGGAAUAUUGCACAAUGGGCGGAAGCCUGAUGCAGCAACGCCGCGUGCGGGAUGACGGCCUUCGGGUUGUAAACCGCUUUCGCCUGUGACGAAGCGUGAGUGACGGUAAUGGGUAAAGAAGCACCGGCUAACUACGU
rnacentral:rRNA from 1 species